UGAAGUCCUUGGUCCUUAUAGUAAUGGGGGAAAAUCCUGCCACUCAGAUCUUGCCUUGGAAUGUUGUUGGAAUUCAGAUUCUAAAUCCAGCUCCAGAAGGUUGGGAUUACAUGAAGCAUUAGAAGGACUGUCAUGAACCAUGUGGGAGACCCGGAUUCCGUUCCUGCUCCUGGCUUCAGCCUGGCCCAGCCCCAGUUAAUGCCAGCAUUUGUCUCUCGCCAGUGCCUUCCAUUGACCAAUCCCCCUGAGAGCCAGAGGGCAACAGAGCUUAAGAAUGCAGUUCCCUUAGGAAUGGAGUUAAGAAGAGCAAGAAGGCACAUGACUAGCAAGGCCCAGGCAUAGAAAUUGCUGCAGGGGAAUCUUGAUUAUCAAUGUGAUCAGCCCUUUCUCUGGAGUCUGGAGGGCAUAAGUAGCAGGAAGCUCACUGUGAACUGCCUAGAAAACUUUGUAUUCGAAAAGGGUUCAUUUUGUAUCCUUAUUAUCAAGGAUAUUUUAAACCAAAUAUGCCCUUGUGUCCGACUCAUGCUGAUGAUAGAUUCUGAAAUGUGGAUAUUUUAUGUGUUGCUUAACUACCUUCACAGUCACUCUAUGUGUGUGUGUGUGUUUAACUGAAUCACAAUUAAAAUAUCAAAGCAAUUGAAAACCAGAGUCAGGCUUUAUGUUAUAAAUACUAAUUCUUAGUUCAUCUUUUCAGCAUUAGACACUGUAUCCACUUGCAGACAAGUGUUACUGAGAACACAGAUUUUACCACUUCCAUUGCAUCAUGACAGAGAGGUAGAUUUCAAGAGACUGGCUAUUAACAUCCUGCUAUUUCUGGACACCAACUGGUAAAGUGAGCUUGACUUCUUCAGCACCUGAAAACCCCAAAGGAACUCCUUCCAAGCCUAGUAUUAAUCAUCUUCACACUUGUUCAUUUGUUCAUGUUUUGUCUCAAGGAAUUCACACACAGCGUAUUUAUUUUUGAAUCAAUCUUUGCAAGAACUAUCACCUUAGUGACAUACGGAUCAAAGAUUUACUGGAUGCUGAGCUGAAAAUAUCCCUGGAUGUCCACGGAGCCUCGAAUUACAUAGCCAUGAACUUCAUUGUUUGCGAGGUAACUUACUUCGUUUCACACUUUUGUCUCCUGAGGUCACCUCUUGUUUGUAAGAAUAUUAUCCUUCGUGCUAUUUCUACAUGGAAUCAACCUAGCCACGUGGGUGUAGCUCUAAUCUAUUUUAGAAGAUAAUGGGGAUGUACUCCAAUUCUCCACAUUCCUGAUUCUUCUACCAGCUCCUGAUUAAGGUGGCUACGUCUUAUCUUUCUCUUCCUUAAGUGUGUCAGGCGUGUAGAGUUGGGUACUGGUGGGAUAUCUGCCGGCUCCAUGUUCACAUUCUUCCUCUGAGGAUGGUUUCUCUCCAUGUAUACAAAAUUGGAUCCUAGGAAGCCAGGAUUAUACAACCUGACUUUAUCCCACAUCAACUGGACUAGAGUGGUCAGUCAUUUGACCCAUUCAGCACCAAUCAGUUUCUCUUUUCCUAGAAUUUGAAAUUCAGCAGUUCCUAUUCACAGUGGUCUAGUGUCUUGAACCACGAAAGUGUUACUUGGGGGAGAUGUGAGUAGUUAAGAGGAAUCACAUGUAAACCCAGAAAAAAAGAGCAGAUAUGGAGAAAAACUCCAAAGAAAAACAGUUGAGAACCUUGUCUGGUGAAUUUGUUAUCUAUUGCUGUACAACAAAUGACCCCAAAACUUAACAGAUUUAAACAGCAAACAUUGAUUAUCUCACAAUUUCUGAGGCUCAGAAAUCUGGGACUGGCUCAGCUGCUAACUGUGGCCCAGGGUCUUUCAUGAGUCUGCAGUCGAGACGUGAGCCCAGGCUGGAGAAGGCACUUCCAAACUCACGCUGCUGUCAGCAGCAGACUUCUAUUCUUGUCAUACAACCCCAGCCAUAGUGCUACUCACCUGACUGUAAUGUCCUUCAAGU